AGAGUUUGAUCCUGGCUCAGGAUGAACGCUAGCUACAGGCUUAACACAUGCAAGUCGAGGGGCAGCAUGGUCUUAGCUUGCUAAGGCCGAUGGCGACCGGCGCACGGGUGAGUAACACGUAUCCAACCUGCCGUCUACUCUUGGACAGCCUUCUGAAAGGAAGAUUAAUACAAGAUGGCAUCAUGAGUCCGCAUGUUCACAUGAUUAAAGGUAUUCCGGUAGACGAUGGGGAUGCGUUCCAUUAGAUAGUAGGCGGGGUAACGGCCCACCUAGUCUUCGAUGGAUAGGGGUUCUGAGAGGAAGGUCCCCCACAUUGGAACUGAGACACGGUCCAAACUCCUACGGGAGGCAGCAGUGAGGAAUAUUGGUCAAUGGACGAGAGUCUGAACCAGCCAAGUAGCGUGAAGGAUGACUGCCCUAUGGGUUGUAAACUUCUUUUAUAAAGGAAUAAAGUCGGGUAUGGAUACCCGUUUGCAUGUACUUUAUGAAUAAGGAUCGGCUAACUCCGUGCCAGCAGCCGCGGUAAUACGGAGGAUCCGAGCGUUAUCCGGAUUUAUUGGGUUUAAAGGGAGCGUAGAUGGAUGUUUAAGUCAGUUGUGAAAGUUUGCGGCUCAACCGUAAAAUUGCAGUUGAUACUGGAUAUCUUGAGUGCAGUUGAGGCAGGCGGAAUUCGUGGUGUAGCGGUGAAAUGCUUAGAUAUCACGAAGAACUCCGAUUGCGAAGGCAGCUUGCUGGACUGUAACUGACGCUGAUGCUCGAAAGUGUGGGUAUCAAACAGGAUUAGAUACCCUGGUAGUCCACACAGUAAACGAUGAAUACUCGCUGUUUGCGAUAUACAGUAAGCGGCCAAGCGAAAGCGUUAAGUAUUCCACCUGGGGAGUACGCCGGCAACGGUGAAACUCAAAGGAAUUGACGGGGGCCCGCACAAGCGGAGGAACAUGUGGUUUAA
rnacentral:rRNA from 1 species